CACUUCAUGGGCGCAGUGCUGCAUGUACUGAUCACUGGUGCCACACUCGCUGUGCUGUGUAGGAUGUCUUAUAAGGCACAUUCAGUGGGACUUGGGUUAUCUGCAUUAGAGGAAUAUAAAAAGCAGCCCUAGAAAACUAACACAGAUGAAGACCUCAAAAUUAAAACCUGAUUAAACCAAACUAUUUUGAUGAUGGUGUAAGCAAAGUAGCAAAAUGAAAAGGAACAUAUACAACCUCAAAAAGACUAGAAAGAAAUUACAACUCUCUACUUCUGCAGAGAAUCUGGUUAAAGAGAUCGUGACUCAGGAACACUGAAAAACAAACCCUAAAGCAGGAGAUAGAAUAACAACAAAUCAGAAAAUUAAAGCUUGAAGGUACCCCAUGGAUACUUUGGUUAACCUUCAUUGACAUAUGGAAAACCAUGGUCCCAGGAGAUCAAGCAGCUUGCCAAAGGACUCCCUGGUGACAGAGCCAAGCUUGUCUGGAUGUCCGCAUAGUACGUUUCUCAGGUUCCUGCCAAGACACUCUCCUGCAUCAGAUUUCUAAACAUGCUUCCCCUGUGGUUCCUUUGCUCUCAUCCAGAGCCACCCUGAAGAAAUGAGGCCAGAGCCUUGCUUAGGUCGGAGAAAGAAGAAAACUGAGUCUGAAAGAGAAAGGAACUUGGCAAAAGUCAUGCAAAUAGUCAAGUCUCUGUCUCCAGCACUCCUAGGGGAACUAACUGGGAAUCAAGAACUUCUUGGUAUUGGAGGGCACCUCAGUGGAAUGUUGUAAUCACAUACAUGGAGAAUAAUUCUGAGCACACUAAUCAGUUCAGCUUUGGCUUCUAUUUUGAUUUGUUUGGACAAGGUUCAAACCUGAAUUUCCCAUUUUGAUUUUAUUUAGUUAUUUGAAUUACUAUAAUCUUAAAGCUUGCUUAAAUGUUGUUUCUUCUUUGUUUUCUCUGCUCAUGAGUCAAUAUAUACCUUCACCUUCAUUCCAUUGCAAGGGGUAGCUGCUUGCUCGUCAGCCACAGGACCCUGGCUGUUCCUUCCAAAUGGAGAGGAGUGGAGUCUACUCCUCAUCAGCUUACUUGCAUCUUUCUGCACUUUCAGCACAGCAAUGAAUAAAUGCAGCAAUUGCCAUAGCAGUAAAAUCUCCUGUGCUUUUUCCCCUCUUCAGAUUUUCUUUCAGUCCCUUUCACUUUAUAGUGACCUCCCUUUCGGUUCUCAGGAUCUUGACAGACAUGGUUACUUUACAGAGACAGGUUUUAACAUUGUAGGAAAGAUUUUGUUAUUAUUCCAGUGUUAGCUUUUUGUCACUGGGACAUGACAUACACAGUUUAAAGGAGAAAAAGUGUACUUUGGCUCACUGUUUUAGAGGUCUCAGACCAUGGUCAGCUGGCUCUGAGAGAGAAACAGUACAGUGGAGGAAAGCGGUUCACUUUGUGGCAGCCAGAAAGCAGAGAGAACUGAAGAGUCAGAGUGGAAGGGGCUAGGGACAAAACUCCAGCAACCUUCUUCCACAAUCUGUGCCCUACCUCUUAACGGCCCAUUCUGCUAUGAAUUCAUAAGUGGAUUAACUCAUGAAUGAGGUUAGCACCCUCAAUACAUGAGUCUUUGGAGGACACUUCAUAUUUAAAUCACAACAUCCCAUAUCUUCCCUUCAGCCCUGUGGUUUCAACACUGACCAGCUCACCAUGAGCUUUUCUAGGCUCCACUCCCGCCAAGCUGUCCCUGGAGUCUGUGGGGGCUCUGUGUGAACAGGUUCCUCGGCCUCACCACCUCUCUUCUCCUUGGCAGGGACACGUGGCACACUCCGUGGGGGAGUAAUUGAGCAGAUGUGAGCAGCCGUCUUCAGGUUGUGGGCGAGAGGCACAAAGCCUGUCCUCCCAGAAAACACGAUAAAACCCAUUUCUAUGUCCUAGAUCCUCACAUUUAGCAGAGGGCGGCCUUUUUCGUACUACAGCCACGUGUCAAAUGCCAUGUGGCACGGGGAAUUCUACAGAGGCGUGGAAAGGGGUGAUUCCCUCUUUGUCUCAGGCCUGUCUCACCUACAUCGACUUUGUUAGAUGCUGUGCUUAGGAAAGGGCAUUAGAGAUUGGAAAGUUCUCACACAGAAAUCUUGACUUUUAUACUGAAUCAUUCUGAAUUAUUUUGAGUCCUAGUACUUUCUGAAAUCUUUGAAGUAGCACACAUUUUCUUUUUAGUUUCUUAUGAGCUAUCUUAACUCUCUGUACUGAAUAAUAAGAAGACUCCUAUUCCUAAUCCUUCACCUACAUUCUCUCUCUCCCUCCUGCCUAUUUCUUCUCUAUAUCAUGCCAUUCCUUAACAUUUACUUCUUUCAGUCUUCAAAGCUCUUUGCAAUGUAUUAACCUGGUUGCCAAAGGCUGCGUGGGAACACCCACCCAAACCCUGUGUAAUGUUGUAAUCAGAAACCAGGUAACAUGAUAAGCCUGCCGAUAACUUAUGGAUACUAACACUGUUACCUAUUCCCCGCCUACCUCCUCAGUGAGCAUUAAAGUUGUGUCUUUGCUUUUCUUGCCUGCCACUUGCUACUAAACCUCCCAUUCUUCUUGUGUUCCUGGUUCUUUGUUGAUUAGCCCUUCCUUCCUCUGUAAUAGAAGCCUUGGAGACAGGAAAAAUAGCAGUUUCCUGUUCUGCUUGUUUAUUAUGUUUAAUUAACUCCUCUAUGGCAAUUCUAUGUUUAUUGGCCAGGAUAAC